rfam:Stegodyphus mimosarum contig124060, whole genome shotgun sequence.
UACCUGGUUGAUCCUGCUAGUAGUCAUAUGCUUGUCUCAAAGAUUAAGCCAUGCAUGUCUAUGUACAUGCUGUAUUAAGGCGAAACCGCAAAUGGCUCAUUAAAUCAGUUAUAGUUCCUUGGAUCGUACCUUACUACUUGGAUAACUGUGGCAAUUCUAGAGCUAAUAGAUGCAGCAGAGCUCCAAUCCUCUGGGGACGAGUGCUUUUAUUAGACCAAAACCAAAUGGACCUCAUGUCUGUAUUAUGUGGUGACUGUGUAUAACUUUGGGCUGAUCGCACGGGCUCGUCCCAUCGACGUAUCUUUCAAGUGUCUGCCUUAUCAACUGUCGAUAGUAGGUUACGCACCUACCAUGGUCGUAAUGGAUGAUGGGGAAUCAGGGUUCGAUUCCGGAGAGGGAGCCUGAGAAACGACUACCACAUCCAAGGAAGGCAGCAGGCGCGCAAAUUACCCACUCCCAGAACGGGGAGUUAGUGACAAAAAAAUAACAAUAUGGGACUCUUUUGAGACCCCGUAAUUGGAAUGAGUACAGUAAAUCCUUUAACGAGGAUCAAUUGGAUGGCAAAUCUGGUGCCAGCAGCUGCUGUAAUUCCAGCUCCAAUAGUGUAUAUUAAAGUUGUUGCAGUUAAAAAGCUCAUAGUUGGAUCUCAGUUGCAGACGGAUGGUCCGCCUAUUGGUAGUUACUGCCUGUUCUGAACAGCCAGCCAAUUUCCUAUGAUCUUUACCAGUUGUCUUGGGUGACCAGCAAGUUUACUUUGAAAAAAGUUAGAGUGCUCAAAGCAGGUGUGAUGCCUGAAUAAUGGUGCAUAGAAUAAUGGAAUAGGACCUCAGUUCUAUUUUGUUGGUUUUCGGUAUACGAGGUAAUGAUUAAGAGGGACAGACAGGGGCAUUUGUAUUUCGACGCUAGAGGUGAAAUUCUUGGACCGUCGCAAGACGAACUACUGCGAAAGUAUUUGCCAAGAAUGUUUCCAUCAAUCAAGAACGAAAGUUAGAGGUUCGAAAGCGAUCAUAUACCGUCCUAGUAAUAUUAUUAACACAAAUAAGGAGCGUAUUGGUAUUGUUAAUUAAUGUGUUUGUUAUGUGUGUGUGUGUGUAUGUUAAUGUGUAUGUUGUUUUAUUUUAGUUAUUUUUAUUAACAUCUCAUUUUAUUUAUUUUGCAUUAUUUUUAGUUGGUGCGAAUGUGUUUGAGAUUCAGCGGAUUAGAUGGAUAUAUCCGCUGAAUGUAUUUUUUGGUUCUUUUUAGUUGCCUUUUUAUUAACUUUUUUAGUUACUCGGACCUGGGGCCUGGUUUCUCGGUUGGUUAUUGUUUUAAAUUCAUAUAAAUGUCAUAAUUAAUUUCUGUUUGUGGUGGCACGGUCGGCUCGCUGGUCUCCGUCGUUUGUGGUUGUUUGAACAGGCGCAGCUCAUCUUUGGGUCAUAGGGCAAGCUUGUCUUGCUAGGUGGACCGGGCUGCGCCCUUAGUGUCACCGUCCUAGUUCUAACCAUAAACGAUGCCAGCCAGCGAUCCGGCUGUGUUCCUCAAAUGACACGCCGGGCAGCUUCUGGGAAAUCAAAGCUUUUGGGUUCCGGGAGAGGUAUGGUUGCAAAGCUGAAACUUAAAGAAAUUUACGGAAGGGCACUUCUGAUAUUUAGGUUUAUGUUUCCCUCUUUCCUAUAACAUUCAUUU